UGCGUGAAGUUGGAAUCGCUAGUAAUCGCGGAUCAGCAUGCCGCGGUGAAUACGUUCCCGGGCCUUGUACACACCGCCCGUCACACCAUGAGAGUCGGGAACACCCGAAGUCCGUAGCCUAACCGCAAGGGGGCGCGGCCGAAGGUGGGUUCGAUAAUUGGGGUGAAGUCGUAACAAGGUACC
rnacentral:rRNA from 1 species